GAUGAACGCUGGCGGCGUGCCUAACACAUGCAAGUCGAGCGAUUCUCUUCGGAGAAGAGCGGCGGACGGGUGAGUAACGCGUGGGUAACCUGCCCUGUACACACGGAUAACAUACCGAUAGGUAUGCUAAUACGAGAUAAUAUGCUUUUAUCGCAUGGUAGAAGUAUCAAAGCCUUUGCGGUACAGGAUGGACCCGCGUCUGAUUAGCUAGUUGGUAAGGUAGCGGCUUACCAAUGCGACGAUCAGUAGCCGACCUGAGAGGGUGAUCGGCCACAUUGGGACUGAGACACGGUCCAAACUCCUACGGGAGGCAGCAGUGGGGAAUAUUGCACAAUGGGCGAAAGGCUGAUGCAGCAACGCCGCGUGAGCGAUGAAGGCCUUCGGGUCGUAAAGCUCUGUCCUCAAGGUAGAUAAUGACGGUACUUGAGGAGGAAGCCCCGGCUAACUACGUGCCAGCCGCCGCUGUAA
rnacentral:rRNA from 1 species